rnacentral:tRNA from 1 species
GUGGCUCAGUGGUAGAGUGCUUGCUUUGCAUGCAUGAGGCUCUGAGUUCUAUCCCUCAGC